GAAGAGAGGUUACACAGGCGGAGGCUGUUCAAACAGUUGCUCUACAUGACGACAACGACAACAGUCACAAGAAAGAGUUGAACUUGGACGGCAGUCAGAUGACUAGCAACAGCAGCUUUAAAAUGCAACCCAGGCUCAACUAGUCUAUCACCUUAACAAAACGGAAAUCAAUGUAUAUGUAGUCAGGCCUGCCAAUCAGUUCCAGGACUGAUUCUGUGGAACUGGUAAACUUGUUUUAAAAUUAAGACUAACAGAAUUACAAACAGAAAGUUGCUUCUUGGAUGUAUUGUCAAGAAUAGAUUCACUCUUAUAGAAGAAUAUCUUUAGUUAUAAAACAAAAAUGUCCUGUUCUACAAGUUUUUAUAACCUGAAUAUUUUGUGUGUGUAUAUUUGAUGUGUAUAUUGAUGAAAUAAAGGUAUUUGGCAAAUG